rnacentral:rRNA from 1 species
AGCAGCCGCGGUAAUUCCAGCUCCAAUAGCGUAUAUUAAAGUCGUUGCAGUUAAAAAGCUCGUAGUUGAAUUUCGGGGUUAGUAGGUUGGUCAUGCCUCUGGUAUGUACUGGUCUCACUGAUUCCUCCUUCCUGAUGAACCUUAAUGCCAUUAAUUUGGUGUUUUGGGGAAUUUGGACUGUUACUUUGAAAAAAUUAGAGUGUUUAAAGCAAGCUAACGCUUGAAUACAUUAGCAUGGAAUAAUGAAAUAGGACGUUCGAUCCUAUUUUGUUGGUUUCUAGGAUUGACGUAAUGAUUAAUAGGGAUAGUUGGGGGCAUUAGUAUUCAAUUGUCAGAGGUGAAAUUCUUGGAUUUAUUGAAGACUAACUACUGCGAAAGCAUUUGCCAAGGAUGUUUUCAUUAAUCAAGAACGAAAGUUAGGGGAUCGAAGACGAUCAGAUACCGUCGUAGUCUUAACCAUAAAUUAUGCCGACUAGGGAUCGGAUGAUGUUAAUUUUUAAUGACUCAUUCGGCGCCUUAC